rnacentral:rRNA from 1 species
UGGCGAACGGGUGAGUAACACGUGAGCAACCUGCCCCCGACUCUGGGAUAACCCCGGGAAACCGGAGCUAAUACCGGAUACGACACGCUCGGGCAUCCGAUGCGUGUGGAAAGAUUUAUCGGUUGGGGAUGGGCUCGCGGCCUAUCAGCUUGUUGGUGGGGUAACGGCCUACCAAGGCGACGACGGGUAGCCGGCCUGAGAGGGCGACCGGCCACACUGGGACUGAGACACGGCCCAG